CUUUCCCUCCACCUCCUCCUAUUGCAACACCCACUGGCUGCACUAUCAGGAGAAUGGUAAUGAGAUAUGACUCUCCAUAUGUGUGUGUGUGUGGGGGGGGGGGUGCACUUUGCAGAGUGUGUAAUUGCUUGUUGUUCUCUUCUUUUUUUUUUUCUUAUGGCAGGUAGAAGAGCAUAGGUCAAUUGCAGCAAUAAAAAAAAGGAAGAAAAGUUGAAAGGGCAAUCGUCUAGGGAUGAUCAGUUUGGCUGAAUAUAUGUGAAUUCAUAUGAAACAAAAAGUACAAUAAUAAUUAGUUUUUUCUCGAUUUCACAGGUAAUUGCACAUAAAACAAAUAUCACAUUCCAGUACAUCCCUUACUGAAGUAUCUAAAAUAAUUAUUGCCUUGAGAUUGAAAAGUAGAAGGUUCAUCCGCAUAGUCUUAUGAUUUUCUGCCACAAACCAGAAUUCAUUGUUUCAUCAACAAUAGCAAGUCUUCCAGGUCCUGAAGAAGCUAAGCAGUCCCAGACCAUCAAACUACCACCACCAUGGUUGUCGGCUGAUCAUGCCAAGAUGUGUUUCCUGACUGUAAAACAGCUGCAAGAAUAUCCAGAAUGCUGCUGCAAGAGUUCUGACUUGAACCAGGAAAUAUAACCACAUUAGUCCAGUCCUCAGGUCUCUUCACUGACUUUCUGAAUAUACUUUAAAACAACUUUGCUUGUGUAUAAGUGUCUUUACGGUCUAGCGGAAAAAUACAUCUCCGAACUUCAGGUAGCCAGAGUCAAACACAGCGAGGCUGCGCUUCAAUAUUAUGUUAAUAAAUUCUGGAACAGUCUUCCUGAUGAAGUGAGGCAUGCCUAGACUCUGACAAUGUUUAAAUCCAGGCUGAAAACAGUUAUUUUUUGCUGUGCAAAUAAAUACUGACAGUAUUUCAUCUACAUUUCCUUUCCCUAAUUUAAAUGGUCAAUGACUUUACGAUUGUUUUUCAUUUGUUUUAUCUUGUUUAAAUUAUGCUUUUUAAUCUCUGCUUUUAAACUUUUGAUUUUGCUGUAAAGCACUUUGAAUUGUCCUGUACACUAAAUGUGCUAUACAAAUGGUUAAUUCAUUCUUAAACAAAGGACACAAUUAUUUUUUUUCUCAGAGUCAGAUUGGAAAUCUUUCUUCCCUUUAUAAAUGAAAACUUUUUCACA